UACGUAGGGGGCAAGCGUUGUCCGGAAUCAUUGGGCGUAAAGCGCGUGUAGGCGGCCCGGUAAGUCCGCUGUGAAAGUCGGGGGCUCAACCCUCGGAUGCCGGUGGAUACUGUCGGGCUUGAGUACGGAAGAGGCGAGUGGAAUUCCUGGUGUAGCGGUGAAAUGCGCAGAUAUCAGGAGGAACACCAAUUGCGAAGGCAGCUCGCUGGGACGUUACUGACGCUGAGGAGCGAAAGCGUGGGGAGCGAACAGG
rnacentral:rRNA from 1 species